rnacentral:rRNA from 1 species
AACGAACGCUGGCGGCGUGCCUAACACAUGCAAGUCGAACGAGAAAGUCCCUUCGGGGGCGAGUAAAGUGGCGAACGGGAGAGUAACGCGUGGGUAAUCUACCUUCCAGAGGGGGAUAACCUGCCGAAAGGCGGGCUAAUACCGCAUAACAUGGCUGGUUCAUAUGGGCUGGUCAUCAAAGGCGGCCUCUGCUUGCAAGCUGUCACUGGAAGAUGAGCCCGCGUCCCAUUAGCUAGCUGGCGGGAUAACAGUCCACCAAGGCAACGAUGGGUAGCCGACCUGAGAGGGUGACCGGCCACACUGGGACUGAGACACAGCCCAGACUCCUACGGGAGGCAGCAGUGGGGAAUAUUGCGCAAUGGGCGAAAGCCUGACGCAGCAACGCCGCGUGAGUGAUGAAGGCCUUCGGGUCGUAAAGCUCUGUCGCAGGGAACGAAAACCACCAUCCAAAUAGGGUGGUGGUAUGACGGUACCCUGAAAGAAAGCUCCGGCCAACUCCGUGCCAGCCGCCGCCGUAAGAC